AGGGAUAUAACUCAGCGGUAGAGUUUCACCUUGACGUGGUGGAAGUCAUCAGUUCGAGCCUGAAUUAUCCCUA
rnacentral:tRNA from 1 species